GACGAACGCUGGCGGCGUGCCUAAUACAUGCAAGUUGAGCGCUGAAGGUUGGUACUUGUACCGACUGGAUGAGCAGCGAACGGGUGAGUAACGCGUGGGGAAUCUGCCUUUGGGCGGGGGACAACAUUUGGAAACGAAUGCUAAUACCGCAUAAAAACUUUAAACACAAGUUUUAAGUUUGAAAGAUGCAAUUGCAUCACUCAAAGAUGAUCCCGCGUUGUAUUAGCUAGUUGGUGAGGUAAAGGCUCACCAAGGCGAGGAUACAUAGCCGACCUGAGAGGGUGAUCGGCCACAUUGGGACUGAGACACGGCCCAAACUCCUACGGGAGGCAGCAGUAGGGAAUCUUCGGCAAUGGACGAAAGUCUGACCGAGCAACGCCGCGUGAGUGAAGAAGGUUUUCGGAUCGUAAAACUCUGUUGGUAGAGAAGAACGUUGGUGAGAGUGGAAAGCUCAUCAAGUGACGGUAACUACCCAGAAAGGGACGGCUAACUACGUG
rnacentral:rRNA from 1 species